UGACGUAGCCCUUUUUGUUCGUCGUUUCGGUACUCUCGCACAACGCGUAUUUUUUCGCGACCGCGUCAUUGCGUCUUGAGUCGAGUGACGACGCGGAGCGCGCGCCUUAGUCGUGUUGUAUUUUGACUGGAUCUCUCUUCACUUGUCUGACUUACGCGUUUCACAGUCGACGCGUUUCGCGUCGUUUAACACACUUGUGAACAUAUUGUUAUAUUAUAAUUGCACUACUGUAAUGUGCGAAUAUAAUUACAUUACAUCAUUAUUAUAUUAUAAUUUAUAAUAUUAUAUUAUAAUUUACGUAGGCAUUUUACGCGUGUUAAGUGAGGUGAUUUAAAAGCGCAGGAAACGCGUGAAAAGAGCUUCAGUCAAAUUACACGCUUGCGCGCUAAAAAAUAACACACAAAUUGGAUUUGCAGUGUGUAUCGGUGCGUAACUUGCAAUUUCCAAUUCGGGUAAAUAAAAGAUUUCGUCGGCCUUGCGUUAAUCAACACGCGUUUCUCCGAUUGAAUUGUGCUUACGCGUUGUACUUACGCGAGUGUCAGUGCCAGUGUCAUGAGGAAGCGUCUGUAGGAAGUAUCCGGAGGACGCACGGGAUGCCAGAACAUGGAUAGCGACAUAUUUACAGUUUCAGAUCUGAUUAAUUUUACGGCCCCAUCGCCAAGGCAGCUGCAAUUCCGGCAGUCGCGGAUGUCGGACGGGAAGAUUCGGUUCGGGGUACAAAAAGGAGCCUAGGACGAUAUUCUUAUUAAGCUUGGUAUCGAUAUGACGAAUUGAUUUAUUCAGCAAAAUGAUACCACAACACGUCACUUGGAUACGCGGAAUCGAAUGAGAGAUAUGGAGAGAGAGAUAUAGUUCUUGGAAAAAGGUGGGUUUCAAUAUUUUAUGUCACGACUUUACGAGGUACGAGUUGCGAAGUCGUAUAAAUUUUGCUGCGCAUCCACAAGCGCUUUUUUGGAAUGUAUUUUUCUUUGAACAUUAUAUAAAAUGACAUUGAUAUCGGCUGACAAU